UGUGGUUUAAUUCGACGCAACGCGAAGAACCUUACCUGGGUUUGACAUGCAGGGAAAUCCCAUAGAGAUAGGGCGUCCGACAGGUGUGACGAGCGCAACCCUCGUCCUAUGUUGCCAGCGGGACGUCAAGUAUCAUGCCCCUUAUGUCCAGGCUGCAUACAUGGCCGGUACAAGGGCAGCGAAACCGCAAGGUAGAGCGUCCCAAAAAGCCGGUCUCAGUUCGGAUUGGGGUGCAACUCGACCCCAUGAAGUCGGAGUCGCUAGUAAUCGNGAUCAGCAACGCUGCGGUGAAUACGUUCCCGGGCCUUGUACACACCGCCGUCACGUCACGAAAGUCGGUAACACCCGAAGCCAGUGGCCCAACCCGCAAGGGAGGGAGCUGUCGAAGUGGGAUCGGCGAUUGGGACGAAGUCGUACAA
rnacentral:rRNA from 1 species